AUGCUCAUUCAGCAGCGCAUAUACUGUAAUCAGAAUGAUACAAAGAUUAGCAUGGCCCUGCACAAGGAUGACAUGUAGAUUCGUGAAGCGAUCCAUAUUAAA
ensembl:snRNA U6 U6 spliceosomal RNA